rfam:Papio anubis isolate 1X1155 chromosome 11, whole genome shotgun sequence.
ACUUCGGUUUUUUUAAAAAUCACAAAACAUUUAAAUAAGAUUAUCUU